UCGGGAAUUUUGGGCAAUGGGCGAAAGCCUGACCCAGCAACGCCGCGUGAGGGAUGAAGUAUUUCGGUAUGUAAACCUCGAAAGAAUGGGAAGAAUAAAUGACGGUACCAUUUAUAAGCUCCGGCUAACUACGUGCCAGCAGCCGCGGUAAUACGUAGGGAGCAAGCGUUGUUCGGAUUUACUGGGCGUAAAGGGCGCGUAGGCGGCGCGGUAAGUCACUUGUGAAAUCUCUGAGCUUAACUCAGAACGGCCAAGUGAUACUGCUGUGCUAGAGUGCGGAAGAGNCAACCGGAAUUCUUGGUGUAGCGGUGAAAUGCGUAGAUAUCAAGAGGAACACCUGAGGCGAAGGCGGGUUGCUGGGCCGACACUGACGCUGAUGC
rnacentral:rRNA from 1 species